CUCUAAUCCAUUUAUCUUUUGGCAAUUUAGGUUCCAUUGGAAGGAUUUAAGGCCUUGCAGGGGAUAUCUGGCUCCCAAAGGUUUCAGAUACACAAGGCAUAUGGCGCUCCUGAGAGACUUCCAUCAGCCCAUACCUGUUUCAACCAGCUCGACUUGCCUGAAUAUUCAUCCAAGGAGCAAUUAGAAGAACGUUUGAUGCUUGCCAUCCAUGAAGCUAGUGAAGGUUUUGGCUUCGGCUGAUUUGGUUUUGCUCGUUUGAAAGGCCUUGUUUUUCUGUUUUUCGUGUACAGGUCAGAUUCACUAUAAUGUUUUUUGAGUUUAUAUUUGUUUUAGCUCCACUAUUCCUUUGAUGAAUAGACCUCCAGUAUGAUUAUAUGGCCAUUCUCUUGUUGUAUAGAUGCCCAAAGUAACCAUUUUUUUUUUGGUUAUUUUUGCCACAACUUGGCAAUGUAAGAAAGCUACUCUGAGGAGGCAUAAUAAAGUGAUGAGAUUAACUUAUAAAUAUCGCCCUUCGGUGAAUGUUUACAACA